AUUGAACGCUGGCGGCAGGCCUAACACAUGCAAGUCGAACGAGUGGCGGACGGGUGAGUAAUGUCUGGGAAACUCCCUGAUGGCGGGGGAUAACUACUGGAAACGGUAGCUAAUACCGCAUACCAUCAGAUGUGCCCAGAUGGGAUUAGCUAGUGGGUGGGGUAACGGCUCACCUAGGCGACGAUCCCUAGCUGGUCUGAGAGGAUGACCAGCCACACUGGAACUGAGACAGGGUCCAGACUCCUACGGGAGGCAGCAGGGGGGAAUAUUGCACAAGGGGCGCAAGCCGGAGGCAGCCAUGCCGCGUGUAUGAAGAGGGCCUUCGGGUUGUAAAGUACGUUCAGCGGGGAGGCGUUACCCGCAGAAGAAGCACCGGCUAACUCCGUGCCAGCAACCGCGGUAAUUC
rnacentral:rRNA from 1 species